GUGCAGCAGUCGAGAAACCUCUGCAAUGCGCGCAAGCGCGACAGGGCUACCCCGAGUGCCGCCCGCUGAGGGCGGCUUUUCUCCGGUGUAAUGAGUCGGAGGAAUAAGGGGAGGGCAAGCCUGGUGUCAGCCGCCGCGGUAAUACCAGCUCCCCGAGUGGUGGGGACGGUUAUUGGGCCUAAAGCGUCCGUAGCCGGUUCGGCAAGUCCUCCGUUAAAGCCAACGAUCCAAUCGUUGGAAUGCGGGGGAUACUGCCGGACUAGGGGGGCGGGAGAGGCCGACGGUACUCCUGGGGGUAGGGGUGAAAAUCCGUAUAAUCCCAGGAGGACCACCAGUGGCGAAGGCGGUCGGCCGAGAACGCGCCCGACGGUGAGGGACGAAAGCGUGGGGGAGCGAUCCGGAUUAGAUACCCCUGUAGU
rnacentral:rRNA from 1 species